UGGGGAAUCUUGGACAAUGGGCGCAAGCCUGAUCCAGCCAUGCCGCGUGAGCGAUGAAGGCCUUAGGGUUGUAAAGCUCUUUCACCGGUGAAGAUAAUGACGGUAGCCGGAGAAGAAGCCCCGGCUAACUCCGUGCCAGCAGCCGCGGUAAUACGGAGGGGGUUAGCGUUGUUCGGAAUUACUGGGCGUAAAGCGCACGUAGGCGGACCAGAAAGUUGGGGGUGAAAUCCCGGGGGCUCAACCCCGGAACUGCCUCCAAAACUAUUGGUCUAGAGUUCGAGAGAGGUGAGUGGAAUUCCAAGUGUAGAGGUGAAAUUCGUAGAUAUUUGGAGGAACACCAGUGGCGAAGGCGGCUCACUGGCUCGAUACUGACGCUGAGGUGCGAAAGUGUGGGGAGCAAACAGGAUUAGAUACCCUGGGUAGUCCACACCGUAAAACGAUGAAUGCCAGUCGUCGGGUAGCAUGCUAUUCGGU
rnacentral:rRNA from 1 species